GGGCUGUCAAAAAUUGCGCACAGCCUUCAGCCGUCCAGUCUGUGGAGUAAGCAGACUAAUCCAUCAGACAAACAACACGCAAGAUUAACCUUUUUUUUCUUUAUUUCCUUGUGUCUUUUUAUUUUAUUUUAUUUUUACCUUAGCGAAACUCAUUUUUGCCUGCGCACCCGGAAGCGUGUUUUAAAAUCACGAUAAUUUUUGUCACAUGGUUUUGGAGAAUUCAAUAACAACAAAAAAUGGCGACAAUCACGUUGCUCUGUGUGGUCUUGCUGCGUCAUUAAAAAUAUUCAUGUAAACACGGGAAAAUAAACGCAGGGAUUGCAGUGCCCUGUGCAUCGGGGUCUAAUGGAGUUGUUUACAUGAAGUGCAGAGGGCGGACUGAAGAGAAGGAGGAGGAGCCGCUACGUCGGCCAGCGACACCGACUGCUCGAGAGGCUUCUCGUGCGGAUGGGAGGGGCGGAGCCGCGACAAGAAUCAUAACAAGUCUUGACAUCACUCAACCUUGUGUUUGGUAUGAAUAAAAUACAGUAGUGUGCUUCGACAGAGUCCCAGAAGGAGCGAAACAUUCUUCUAACUGCGUUAUGAGAUGAAGAGCUUUCUGUCCUGCAGAAAAAUGGAAGAAAAAACAUUUAUUUCAUGUAGAAAAAAAGGGCUUUCAUGUAGAAUAUCAUUGACCUUAAAUCAGUGUUCAUGAUUGUGCAUUAUCAACAUUUAAAACUGAUUGUUCAGACUUAAAAAAAAAAAAAACGAAGUUAUAUUGUGCAUUUUUUAAAAUAGUCUAAUUUGCUAUUUAAAGACUGGGUGCACCACAGUCAUGUGAUAGGAGGCCUAUGCAUGAAAACAUCCCAUAAACAUGUUCAUUAUCAUAUGGACAAAAAUUAUUAAAUAAUUAUAAUAAUAAUGAUAUAAUAAUAAUUACAUGCUUAUAAAGUAUAAUCUCUGUAUUUUCAAAAAGCAUAAAUACAUAGUAAUAUAAGAACUAAAGUUAUAACACUGAAGACAUUUCUGUUCAGGCACUAUGUUGACACAAUUUGUUCUCUGGAAAAAAAUAUAUAUUUAUUCUCACUCUAA